rnacentral:lncRNA from 1 species
GGAUUAAUGGGUUAUCCAGGGUGUGGGACAGGUGGCUUUAUAAGAAGAGGAAAAGAGACCUGAGUUAGCACACUCAAACUCCUCACCAUGCGAUGCUCUGUGCCUCCUUGGGACUCUGCAGAGAGUCCCUACCAAUAAGAAGGCUCUCACCAGAUGUGGCCCCUCAACUUUGGACUGCUUAGCUUCCGUAACUGGAAAUGCCACAAGACUAGGCCGUGCAACAUUUCCGCAGUGCUCCUCGCUACAAAGACAUUCCCCUAAGGCUGGUGGGCAACUCAACACUCAGCUCAGUACGUGGUCAGCUCGUCCUCCAUAGGAGCCUUAUGCCUUGGUGAGGAGAUCUCUGAAGAAAUUGCUGAUGAAAGUCCAACAGGCUCUUCCAGUUUGUCUGGUCGGUCACAUUUGCUGAAACCUGGAGGAAUUGUUAGUGGAAGCUCAACAGGCCUGACUCAGUCUGACUGUCCAUUCUUCUGGAAGCUGCAGAGAAAAGAAACCUGGAAACCUUAUAUGCUGACAAAAAGGGACACAAUUGGAUAUGAUGGUUAUUUUACCAAGGUUUUGAAAUGUCGUGCUUUCAAAUAUAAACAGACUGCUUUAAGGAAUCGAAGUUGACUUAUAGAGCCAAUAAAAGCCCUGCAGGAAAGCUGGCCUCAUACUUUGUCUACACAGUCUCUGUACAGGUUUCCUGACCUGUGAGAUGGAGCUUAAUUUCCCUCCCCUUGAGUACUUGGUGACUUGCUCCUGGCAGAUAGAAAGUGAAAGAAAUGAUGGAAUGUCACAUCCAAGAUUAGAGGAGUGGAUACACCUACAAGAUUAGGAGACUACAGCUUCUGUGUUGGGUUCUCUCUUUCUUUUUCAUAUUCUCUCAUUCUGAUUUCUCAUUCUGGGGACCAGCUUCCAAGUUGUCUGAGGAGCCUUAUGAAGAGGCUCACGUGGUGAGGAACGGAAA